GGGGACUCCGAGUGCGAGGGCAUAUAGCCCUCGCUUUUCUGUACCGUAAGGUGGUACAGGAACAAGGACUGGGCAAGACCGGUGCCAGCCGCCGCGGUAAUACCGGCAGUCCGAGUGAUGGCCGAUAUUAUUGGGCCUAAAGCGUCCGUAGCCGGCCGGACGAGUCCGUUGGGAAAUCGACGCGCUCAACGCGUCGGCGUCCAGCGGAAACUGUCCGGCUUGGGGCCGGAAGACCUGAGGGGUACGUCCGGGGUAGGAGUGAAAUCCUGUAAUCCUGGACGGACCACCAAUGGGGAAACCACCUCAGGAAGACGGACCCGACGGUGAGGGACGAAAGCUAGGGUCUCGAACCGGAUUAGAUACCCGGGUAGUCCUAGCUGUAAACGAUGCUCGCUAGGUGUGCCGUAGGCUACGAGCCUGCGCUGCGCCCUAGGGAAGCCGAGAAGCGAGCCGCCUGGGAAGUACGUCUGCAAGGAUGAAACUUAAAGGAAUUGGCGGGGGAGCACACAACCGGAGGAGCCUGCGGUUUAAUUGGACUCAACGCCGGACAUCUCACCGGUCCCGACAGUAGUAAUGACGGUCAGGUUGACGACCUUACCCGACGCUACUGAGAGGAGGUGCAUGGCCGCCGUCAGCUCGUACCGUGAGGCGUCCUGUUAAGUCAGGCAACGAGCGAGACCCGCACUUCUAGUUGCCAGCAAUACCCUUGAGGUAGUUGGGUACACUAGGAGGACUGCCAUUGCUAAAAUGGAGGAAGGAACGGGCAACGGUAGGUCAGUAUGCCCCGAAUGGACCGGGCAACACGCGGGCUACAAUGGCUCUGACAGUGGGAUGCAACGCCGAGAGGCGACGCUAAUCUCCAAACGGAGUCGUAGUUCGGAUUGCGGGCUGAAACCCGCCCGCAUGAAGCUGGAUUCGGUAGUAAUCGCGUGUCAGAA
rnacentral:rRNA from 1 species